UACAGAGGGGGCAAGCGUUGUUCGGAAUUACUGGGCGUAAAGGGCGCGUAGGCGGCCGCCUAAGUCAGACGUGAAAUCCCUCGGCUCAACCGGGGAACUGCGUCUGAUACUGGGUGGCUUGAAUCCGGGAGAGGGAUGCGGAAUUCCAGGUGUAGCGGUGAAAUGCGUAGAUAUCUGGAGGAACACCGGUGGCGAAGGCGGCAUCCUGGACCAACACUGACGCUGAGUGAGCGAAAGCCAGGGGAGCCAAACGGG
rnacentral:rRNA from 1 species